rnacentral:rRNA from 2 species
CCUUUGACGUUAGCGGCGGACGGGUGAGUAACACGUGGGUAACCUACCUAUAAGACUGGGAUAACUUCGGGAAACCGGAGCUAAUACCGGAUAACAUUUGGAACCGCAUGGUUCUAAAGUGAAAGAUGGUUUUGCUAUCACUUAUAGAUGGACCCGCGCCGUAUUAGCUAGUUGGUAAGGUAACGGCUUACCAAGGCGACGAUACGUAGCCGACCUGAGAGGGUGAUCGGCCACACUGGAACUGAGACACGGUCCAG